UACGUAGGGGGCGAGCGUUGUCCGGAUUUAUUGGGCGUAAAGAGCUCGUAGGCGGUUUGGCAAGUCGGGUGUGAAAACUCCGGGCUCAACUCGGAGACGCCACUCGAUACUGCCAUGACUCGAGUCCGGUAGGGGAGUGCGGAAUUCCUGGUGUAGCGGUGAAAUGCGCAGAUAUCAGGAGGAACACCGGUGGCGAAGGCGGCACUCUGGGCCGGUACUGACGCUGAGGAGCGAAAGCGUGGGGAGCGAAUAGG
rnacentral:rRNA from 1 species